rnacentral:rRNA from 1 species
CCUACGGGAGGCAGCAGUGAGGAAUAUUGGACAAUGGGCGCAAGCCUGAUCCAGCCAUGCCGCGUGCAGGAUGACGGUCCUAUGGAUUGUAAACUGCUUUUAUACGGGAAGAAACCCUGGCUCGUGAGCCAGAUUGACGGUACCGUAAGAAUAAGGAUCGGCUAACUCCGUGCCAGCAGCCGCGGUAAUACGGAGGAUCCAAGCGUUAUCCGGAAUCAUUGGGUUUAAAGGGUCCGUAGGCGGUUUAAUAAGUCAGUGGUGAAAGCCCAUCGCUCAACGGUGGAACGGCCAUUGAUACUGUUAGACUUGAAUUAUUAGGAAGUAACCUAGAAUAUGUAGUGUAGNGUGAA